ACUUCUUGGAGCGCCAAGAAUUACAUACCUCAAAGAUGAUUAUGAUAAGAUGGUUUGGUAUGUCCUAAACAAUUAUUUGGAGGUCGAGCCAUAUAUAAAGAUGUAUAAGGAAGAGUUAGAGAAUGAAGGGAUUGUUAAUGUGGAAAAAACCAUUCAGAAGCACUUUUCCUCCUGGUUUAAGAAGCAUAUUGCAAGUUUGCAUUUUGUCGAGGGAGAAGACAUUGAUGAUGACCUAUAUGCAUUGGCAUGCGAACCGGAUUUGUGAGUUCGA